rnacentral:SRP_RNA from 1 species
GCGGGGCGCGGUGGCGUGUGCCUGUAGUCCCAGCUACUGGGGAGGCUGCGGCUGGAGGGUCACCUGAGUCCAGGAGUUCUGGGCUGUAGUGCGCCAUGCCUGUUGGGUGUCCGCACUAAGUUUAGCAUCAAUAUGGUGACCUCCCGAGAGCGGAGGACCACCAGGCUGCCUAAGGAGGGGUGAACCAGCCCAGGUUGGAAACGGAGCGGGUCAAAACUCCCAUGCUGAUCAGUAGUGGGAUCGCAACUGUGAAUAGCCACUGCACUCCAGCCUGGGCAACAUAGAGAGACCCUCGUCU